UAGGGAAUCUUCCACAAUGGGCGAAAGCCUGAUGGAGCAACGCCGCGUGUGUGAUGAAGGGUUUCGGCUCGUAAAACACUGUUGUAAGAGAAGAAUGACAUUGAGAGUAACUGUUCAAUGUGUGACGGUAUCUUACCGGAAAGGAACGGCUAAAUACGUGCCAA
rnacentral:rRNA from 1 species